UGGCUGUGGUUUCUUAGUUAUGACAUCA
rnacentral:piRNA from 1 species